rnacentral:rRNA from 1 species
UACAGAGACCUCAAGCGUUAUCCGGAUUUAUUGGGUGUAAAGGGUCCGCAGGCGGCAUGCCAAGUUACUUGUUAAAUCGUUGGGCUUAACCCAACGGCUGCGAGUAAGACUGGCAAGCUAGAGAAUGGGAGAGGUAUGUGGAAUUUCUGGUGUAGUCGUAAUAAGCGUUGAUAUCAGAAGGAACACCAAAGGCGAAGGCAGCAUACUAGAACAUUUCUGACGCUCAGGGACGAAAGCGUGGGGAGCGAAAGGG